GAGGGUGUAGCUCAGUUGGUUAGAGUACCUGCUUGACAUGCAGGGGGUCAUCGGUUCAAGUCCGCUCAUCCUCA
rnacentral:tRNA from 2 species